CAGUCGCCGCGGUAAUACGGAGGGUGCAAGCGUUAAUCGGAAUUACUGGGCGUAAAGCGCACGCAGGCGGUCUGACAAGUCAGAUGUGAAAUCCCCGGGCUUAACCUGGGAACUGCAUUUGAAACUGUCAGGCUGGAGUCUUGUAGAGGGGGGUAGAAUUCCAGGUGUAGCGGUGAAAUGCGUAGAGAUCUGGAGGAAUACCGGUGGCGAAGGCGGCCCCCUGGACAAAGACUGACGCUCAGGUGCGAAAGCGUGGGGAGCAAACAGGAUUAGAUACCCGGGUAGUCCCUGUCUCUUAUAA
rnacentral:rRNA from 1 species